GGGCAAUCGGCGCCGGCAGCCCGGGGUUAGCGCGAGUUGGUCACGUGUCGGCGGCCGUAAGCGUUUGAGACGUCCGCGCGCCGGUCGCUGCUGGUGGUGGGCGCGGCUGGGAGUCGCGAGGCGCCCGGGAGAGCGGGGUCAGUCAGGCAGCGUGGCCGGGGCUCGUGGUGGCCGUGUAUGGUGCUGGAGGGCUGAGGAGAGAUAGGCCGUGACUCCCAGAGACGAAUGGACCGCUGUGGGGCUCAGCGAGAGAUGGCGCUGCCCGUCUCCUUUGCUGCUGGUGUGGCCUUGUGCCCAAGUGCAGGGAUGCACGCGGAGACGAUGGUGCAGCUUCUAGGUCAUCUCCCACGUAGACAAUGAGCCCCAGCCCGGAAUGGAGCUCUUUUCCCUCCUCGCCAGCUGGAACGUGAACGUGCUCACCACCCAGCUUUGACCUCGGGAGGAAGACGGUGCCUGCGGCCAGCGCAGCAACAAGCUGGAAAGGGCCUGGCUCACCAUCUGGACCUUGGGACUGUUACGCGGAGAUGCUGAGGUUCCAAGAAUGAUGAUGCUGGAUCCAGGUGGCCCAGCAGUAGAACCACAGUAAUUCAGGUUCAAGAUUCUCGGCUUGGCAUUUAUCAUGCUGACUGCGAGGCUCAUGGCAAUUUAUUUUUGUGAGUGAAACGUACUUAGCUAUAGGUGGAUGUUUACUUUUGAUAAAGAUGGUGAUAGAAGUAGCAAAAAGAGGGGUCUGGUGUGGUUGGGAUUGGGGGACUGACAUUGAGGCUGGUGUGGUGGCUUGUCCCAGCAAUGGCUCCGACAGACCCCACGCCUGGAAUUCACCCCCUGCCUGGGCCCCUCCCACUCUGGCCCUGUGACUCACUUUAACCGAUACAUCGGGGCCCAAGGAUGCUGCACCAAUUCUGGGUCUAAGCCUUAAAGAUGUUUUUGCACUUUUGGGAGCCCUGAGCUUCCAUGUAAAGAGCCCAGUUACCCGGAGAGACCACGUGAAGAAGCCACAUUGAGAGGGAGAGGCCCUGAGGCUACAAGGGGAGAGAGAGACAGACAGAGGGACUGACAGGGGAAGGAGGGGGCCCCAGAUGAGCCCACCCACCAUUCCGGUUGUCCCAGCCAUGGCACUGGACACAUGGGCAAAGCCAUAGCAGAGGUUUCAGCCCCUGCUGCCAUCUGACAGCAGCUGCAUCCAUCAGAGACCCCAAGGGAGACUGGCAGAAAAACUGUUCAGCUGAGCUCUAGUUAAUCCCAGAUCAUGAGAAACAAAGAAAUAGUUACUGUUUUAAGCCAAUAAGUUUUGGGGUGGUUGUUAUGCAGCAAGAGAUACACGAAACAGCUAGAGAAGAUUUCAUGUAUUCAUUCAUUCACUCAUUGGUCGUUUACUAAUCAUCUACUAUGCUCCCAUCACUUUCCCUUCUUGUUGCUUUCAUCUAGCAGCAUUCCAAUCAUUUCCCUUCGUGCAGCUUUAGCACCCGGCUGUCUGUCUUCCUCUACACCAGCUGGAAUUUUGAUAGGGAUUCCACUGACUCUGUAGAUGGGGACUAUUGCCAUUCUAACAGUAUUAAG